CAGCUGCGACUUCCAGAUCCGAGGAAGAGUCAGUCGGUAGGCAUGACGAGCCCUCAGUGCCCCGCCACCGCUGCCAGGCGCUGAGGAGCUACGCUAACGGACACCUCACCUCACAACACCCUCCAACAGCCGCGAGGCUGGCGGCUGAAGGCUAGUCGGAAGCUCCGCCCCGAAACGCGGAAUCCUGCCUCGCCCCGCCCCGCUCCCCGUCCUGCGCACAAACGUCAGGGCGCUGCGUCGUCCCUCUGCUCCUCCACCGUCCCUUCCGGCUUCUGUUUGGUUCCUCGCGUUACCGGCUCUUGGAAGUCUUGCUGCGGUUUCCGCGGUACCCCGCGCUGUCAUCCCCGGUUGCGCCGCCAUGUCGCGGCCCAGUAGCGUCUCCCCGCGGCAGCCUGGCGGGGGCUCGGUGGGCUCAGGUACCCCCGCGGCGGCCGCCUCCGUCGGUCCUGCGGCAGGCCGCAGCCGAGGCAAGGGGCUGAAGGAUAUCCGCGUCGACGAGGAGGUGGAGAUCGCGGUAAAUCUCGCCCUGGAGCGGUUCCGGUACGGAGACGAUAAAGAAAUGGAAUUCCCUUCUUCUUUCACCAGUACUGAAAGAGCAUUUGUUCACCGGCUCUGUCAGUCUCUUGGACUGAUAUCUAAGAGUAAAGGAAAAGGAGCAAGUCGAUAUCUGACUGUAAGGAAGAAGGAUGGGUCAGAGCUAACUCAUUCAGUAAUGGCUUGUUACUUGGCUCUCAGUACAAAACAUGCCAUUCGUAGUUUAAUUCAGAGAUUUCCUGUCACAAAUAAAGAACGAACAGACCUUCUACCAAAGACAGAGCGAGGAAAUGCAUUUGCUGUUGAAUCUGAAAACAGAGAAGUAAACAAGACAAGUGGACGACUUAGCAACGGUAUCCCCCAGGUUCCAGCAAAAAGAGGGGAAUCAGAGUUUGAUUCCUUCAGACAAUCACUACCUGUUUUUGAAAAACAGGAAGAAAUUGUCAAAAUAAUAAAGGACAACAGAGUUGUUUUGAUUGUAGGAGAGACUGGAUCAGGAAAAACUACCCAAAUCCCUCAAUUCCUUCUUGACGACUGUUACAAAAAUGGAACUCCCUGUCGUAUAUUUUGCACUCAGCCAAGACGUUUGGCAGCGGUUGCUGUGGCUGAAAGAGUGGCAGCAGAAAGAAGAGAAAAGAUCGGCCAGACAAUUGGUUAUCAGAUUCGAUUAGAAAGCAGGGUUUCUCCAAAGACUCUGUUAACGUUUUGCACUAAUGGCAUACUACUGCGCACGCUAAUGACAGGAGACAGCACUCUAUCAACUGUGACUCAUGUUAUUGUGGAUGAAGUACAUGAGAGGGAUAGGUUCAGUGACUUCUUGCUAAUAAAACUGAGGGAUGUGUUGCAAAAACAGACCAAUUUAAAACUAAUUAUUUCUAGCGCUGCUCUAGAUGCAAAUCUCUUUAUUAGGUAUUUUGGAAACUGCCCAGUAGUACACAUACAAGGAAGACCUUUUGAAGUUAAAGAGAUGUUUUUGGAGGACAUUUUACGAAGCACGGGGUAUACCAACAAAGAGAUGGUAAAGUACAAAAAAGAGAAGCAGCGAGAAGAAAAACAGCAAAACACUCUUACUGACUGGUGUUCUGCUCAAGAAAAUAAUAGCAAACGGGAAUCUCAGAGACAAAGUUCUGUCCCGAGUGCAGCUGAGGAGUAUAAUCUCUUGGAUGAUGGUAGUGACACAGUAUUUAAUCAGCUGACCGAAAAAGAUGCCAAUAGCCUUGAACCAUGGGUAAUAAAAGAAAUGGAUUCUUGUCUUUCUGACAUCUGGUUGCAUAAAGAUACUGAUUCCUUUGCCCAGGUGUUCCAUCUGAUUUUAACUGAAAAUGUCAGUGUUGAUUACAGGCACAGUGAAACCAGUGUGACUGCACUAAUGAUUGCUUCAGGGAGAGGCUUUCUGAGUCAAGUAGAACAACUGAUCAGUAUGGGAGCAAGUAUCAACUGCAAAUCAUCCAAUGGCUGGAUGGCUUUGGACUGGGCUAAGCAGUUUGGACAGACAGAGGUUGUUGACCUGUUGGAGUCCUACAGUGCUUCAGUGGAAUCUGGAAAUCUGGAUGAAAGUUCCCUGGUCCAAACAAGUGGUAGUGACCUUAGUGCAGAGGACAGAGAACUGUUGAAAGCUUAUCAUCACAGUUUUGAUGAUGAAAAAGUGGAUCUGGACCUGAUUAUGCACUUACUUUAUCACAUCUGCCAUAACUGUGGUGCUGGAGCAAUUUUAAUAUUUCUUCCUGGAUAUGAUGAGAUAGUUAGCCUGAGGGACCGAAUUCUUUUUGAUGACAAGAGAUUUGCUGAUAAUGCUCACAGAUACCAGGUUUUCAUGCUUCAUUCAAAUAUGCAGACUUUGGAUCAGAAGAGGGUGCUUAAAUGUCCACCUGCUGGCAUCCGCAAAAUAAUUCUUUCUACUAAUAUUGCCGAAACCAGCAUAACAGUCAAUGAUGUUAUAUUUGUUAUUGACUCAGGCAAGAUGAAAGAGAAAUCUUUUGAUGCAUUGAGUUGUGUUACAAUGCUAAAAAUGGUGUGGAUUUCAAAAGCCAGUGCUAUCCAGAGAAAAGGCAGGGCUGGGCGUUGUCAGCCUGGAGUCUGUUUUCGUCUCUUCAGCAGGCUCCGAUUUCAGAAUAUGUUGGAAUUUCAGACUCCAGAACUUCUAAGAAUGCCACUCCAGGAGCUUUGUCUACACACAAAACUUCUUGCUCCAAUUAAUUGUCCAAUUGUUGACUUUCUUAUGAAAGCUCCUGAUCCUCCACCAGCUUUAAUUGUGAGAAAUGCUGUGCAAAUGCUUAAGACAAUAGAUGCCAUGGAUCCUUGGGAAGAUCUCACAGAACUUGGUUAUCAUCUCACUGAAUUACCAGUAGAGCCACACCUUGGUAAAAUGGUGUUGUGUGCUGUGGUUUUGAAGUGCCUGGAUCCUAUUCUUACUAUCGCUUGUACUCUGGCAUAUCGAGACCCUUUUGUCCUGCCUACAAUGGCCUCUCAAAAGCGUGCAGCCAUGCUGUGUAGAAAACGUUUUACUGCGGGAACGUUCAGUGACCACAUGGCUCUUCUGAGGGCUUUCCAGGCAUGGCAGAAAGCACGCAGUGAUGGCUGGGAGAGAACCUUCUGUGAAAAGAACUUCCUGUCUCAAGCCACAAUGGAAAUCAUCAUAGGAAUGAGAACACAGUUGCUUGGGCAGCUUAGAGCCUCGGGUUUUGUUCGAGCCAGAGGAGGAGCUGAUAUUAGAGAUGUUAAUACUAAUUCUGAAAACUGGGCUGUAGUUAAAGCUGCCUUAGUGGCUGGGAUGUAUCCCAAUUUAGUGCAUGUAGACAGAGAAAACCUGGUUUUGACUGCACCAAAGGAGAAGAAAGUGCGGUUUCAUCCUACCUCUGUUCUUAGUCAACCUCAGUAUAAAAAGAUUCCCCCAGCAAAUGGGCAAGCUGCAGCCAUUCAGGCGCUCCCUACAGACUGGCUUAUAUAUGAUGAAAUGACAAGAACUCACAGGAUAGCAAAUAUCAGAUGCUGUUCUGUUGUAACACCUGUCACUGUAUCACUCUUCUGUGGACCAGCUAGAUUACCAAGUAAUGCUUUGCAGGAACCUUCAUCCUUUCGAGGGGAUGGGUUAUCUAACGAUAACAGUGAUAGUGAGAUGGAGGAAAAAACAUCUAAUUUGGCACUACUGAAGCUAGAUGAGUGGCUCCAUAUCAGUAUGGACCCUGAAGCUGCUGGUUUGCUGUUGCAACUCAGACAGAAGUGGCAUAGCUUAUUUCUGCGUCGUAUCCGAGCUCCAUCUAAACCGUGGUCUCAAGUUGAUGAAACAACUAUCAGAGCAAUUAUAGCUGUUUUGAGUUCUGAAGAGCAGUCAGCAGGUUUGCAGCAGCCUUCAGGAAUUGGUCAGAGACCAAGACCUAUGACUUCGGAAGAAUUUCCUUCAGCAUCCACAUGGAGGUCAAUCAACAACAGAAAAAGCUCAGCAGAAACGGAACUUUCCGAUGACUCCUCUAAUGCUGAAAAAGCUUUAAUGAAAUCUACGCCUCCUCCACUUCACCAGUCAAAGAAGUACAAAGAAAAAAACAUUUUACACUCCAAGCGAACUUCAGAUGACAGGUCAGAUCGGUCAUCAGUGAAGUCUACAGACAGCAGUAGCUAUCCUAGCCCCUGUGCUAGUCCCUGUUCUCCACUAUCUGGAAAGGGUUCCAAAUCUCCUUCACCACGACCAAAUAUGCCAGUUCGGUACUUCAUAAUGAAAAGCAGCAAUUUACAAAACAUUGAUAUUUCUCAACAGAAGGGUAUAUGGUCUACUACGCCAAGUAAUGAACGAAAACUAAAUAGAGCCUUUUGGGAAAGCCGCAUGGUUUACUUAAUAUUUUCUGUUCAAGGGUCUGGACACUUUCAGGGUUUUGCUAGAAUGGCUUCAGAGAUAGGGUGUGAGAAAAGUCAAGACUGGGGAUCCGCUGGUCUUGGAGGUGUGUUUAAGGUGGAGUGGAUCAGAAAAGAAAGCAUUCCUUUCCAGUUUGCUCACCACUUGCUCAACCCUUGGAAUGACAACAAGAAAGUACAAAUAAGCAGAGAUGGCCAGGAGCUGGAAACACAAGUGGGAGAGCAAUUGCUUCAGCUUUGGGACCACAUUCCUUUGGCAGGAAAAGCUCAACAGAUUGAGUAUGCCAAGUGAUGUGAUGAGGGUGAAGAAAACAACUAUGAAGGAAAAAUGACAACUGAACAUUUCUGUUGGGGGAUCCUGAUUUGCCCUCUUCCCCCAUUGCUUCUGAAGACUCAGAAUCCUUGACCUCCAUCACUCGUUUUGCCACUUCACUGGAAAUGCAAUCAGUUUUGCCUUUUGAUGAAUAUUCAAAAUGACACCAUCUGUCAACCUGUUGUCUCUGAGGGCAGAAGCAGUCUAACUCUCCAAAGAUUUUCUCUUUUUUUUUUUUUUUUAAAAGGAAACUUGAAUAAUGAUCCCUGUCAGCAGGGAAACCACAAAGUGAUGUCUUCAGAACAGUAAUCAGGGAAAAGCAUGUUAGGUAUUGGGAAGGAGGGGAUGCACUGCAGCUGUUUCUGACUGGCAUCUAAGUAGCCUUCUCCUAAUUGAGAUGGGAGAGAAAUGGUAGCUCAUUAUAUGGAGAAUGUUUUCUGGCAUUUAUUUUGGAAAAAGGCUGUGCUAAUAUGUGAUUGGUCUCCAUCACUUCUUUAUCUUGGGUAACUUGUGAUUUUAUAUGAUCUGACUACAGGAAGAUGAUGAUGAGGUGGAUCUUCUCCAUGAAGUGGAAACUGAAGCUGAGGUUACAUUAGGCAUGUAGUUUCACUGUGUAAAGUUAAGAUGUUGCUCAUGUUCUCCCUGACAACAGCCCUUUCCCUUUGUGUGAUCAAAACGGUCAUUUCUGGUUCAUUAACAUGUCAUUUGGAGGAAGUCUGCAUACAAAGAGUCAUGCCUUGAUAAAUACAUUUCUUUCUUUUUAAGAAUAGAAGGUGGAAUGUGCCUUUUUCUUCCCAGGUCUGAAACUGGCUGAUAUAUUGAAGGGAGAGAGACGUUUUUACUGAGUUUUUGGCCUCUAAGUGUACCCGUUGUACAAUGUAGUCUGCGUUUGGCAUGAAGUGUGGGUUUUAUGGGGCUAGAGUCUUUCUCUAUUUCUCUAACCUCCAGACUUUUUUCUUUUUCUUUUUUUUCUUUUCUCCUUUUGGUCUUUGUACUGUGAAAGUGAAAGUUUUAUGAAGCACUUUGUAAUGAAACAAUAGAUAAAAGCAUUUGAAUUGAUCCGGCCUGAGAUGGUUCUGCAGCAAAUUGCUCUGUGAUGUCCUGGAGUAUUGCCUCAGUGAUAUGUGGGGCAACCAGGAGGUACCUAUUUACUAUUUAAAGGAAAUGUAAAAGUUUGGGUUUGGUUUGCAUUGACUGAUGGACAGAAGGUGCUGAGUAGCAGGAGUAGAACAAGAUAGACUCUCUGAAUUUGGAGGCACCACCAGAAGGAUGCUCAUUACCUGCACUUGCUGCACUUUAAGGUCAGACAAAUACAACAUGGAGUUAAGCUCCAGCUCCACGCUGGAGUAGUAGGGAGCUCCGUGAUGCUUUCUGCUUUGCUGUGUUGCCUCUAUCUUUCCCUUACUUAUGCGUAGUCCGUGAAUCCUGCUGCAGCUGGACUUCUUUCAUGCUCUGCAAGGAAACAUUAUUUGUCCUGAUUGCAAGGAAUUAGGACCAAAUACAGGCAGGCAUGAAUCUGUCUGAUGCACUCCUUCUAGUGAUGCCAAAUUCAGGGAAAUAGUAAUCUGUCUAACCUGCCUCCUUUGAUGGUGAUCCUAUAGCUAAAUGAGAUAUAAUGAGAGAAGAAGCCUAUUAUGCAGGAAAAAAAAUUUAGACUUUCCUAGAGAAGUGUGGUGAAAACUUAGAGAAUAUCUGAAGUUCCUCACGCUUGUGCCAAGGGAAGAAAAGAGUGCACAUGCCAAGAUAAGAGUGGGGAGUGAUAUCCAGAAGUUAAUCCAAUUAGAUCAUAGCUGUUGUUUGCCAGGAUUAUUUUGUCUUUUCCUCAUAUUUUAUUUUUAUGCUUGGCUAUAAAUAUUGUGCAUUGCUUUUUUCAUUGGCAGAGAAUCACAGAAUCUUAAGAGUUGGAAGGGAUCUCGAAAGAUCAUCAAGUCCAAAGAAGUGCUUUUUUCCCCUCAUUGCCAGAAGCUUCUAGCUCCUGUUUUGUUUGUUCUGCCUGUAGCAGAUAUGUGUUCUUACUGUUGCCUGAAGACUUCAAAAGCGAAUUAAAUGACGCCAGGUUGUGUGCAUCUUGAGUAACAUGCAUAGGCAGAAAUUUUAAAGCUGGUGGUAAAAUUCUUGAGGUAGCGAAAGGAGAGGAAGUUACGUGUUACUGUCUCUACCUGACCUUCCUUCUUGUUCUAGAUUUCAUCUGAGGCUCAAAUGACUCCUGUUUCUUCACAGGACCACUCACACUCUGCAAUUUCCUAUGGGAGAUUGCCAGUUUAUUCUGUUUUGGAUGUUCCCAGACUUUCCACAGUCUUUAAAGACAGAAGCAGACAAUAAUCGUGUAGUUUUACCUCCUAUGUACAACAUGGAUCAUUAAAUCUGACCUAGCACAGAAGCUGUGCAUAAACCUACCUUGUAUCUGGGGGCUUAUCAAGCUGUUAGAGACAGUAGUUGUGUUUCCUCCAGACUCAAGUGAUAGACUCCUGUCCAUAAGGACUGUGGUUUGGAAGCUGGAGCCAACUUUCAGAUUAUUUUUAAGUGCCAGGCAGAAGAUGGCACAAGAAAACAGUCCCUUCCCCUGCUGCCUCCUCACCCCAUGGUAUGCAGCAGGUUGGAAGGCACAUCUGUAUUUCUGCAAGCACUUUGAUUGCUCAGACGGCUCUGCUUCAGACUUGCAGGGACAAGAGAGGACUUGGUUAUUACAGGUUGUCUCUUGGGGCAGACAAUCAACUCCUUGCCUCUUGCUGUUUAAUUCAGUCUUAGAAAAUUUCUUGUAGAGUUUAGGGGAUUAACAGUGUCUACUUUGGAGGUGUGAGAAGUGGAGAGACAUUUAUUUUGCACAAGAGGAACUGUAAAAAUUAUGACAGUAAAAAAAUUCCUAGAAAUUAAUCUCAAAUUAAUAAGACUGGUGGAUAGGAUUUGUUCUGAAAAAGGCAGUUCGGAUUACUUUUAGAUUAGUUUAAAACCAUUAACUCUGGAAGUUUGACUGUAAAGCUAAUGCCCAAGGCUGGUUAAGCUGUUAGAAGUAUUUACUGUACUAAAUGAAUUAGAACAUCACUGGGCAAGUCAGUUUUGGUGAAUAAGGUCUAUAUUUUGCUUAACCACUGAAAAAGACAGUAUCAUCGCAGCAUAAGACUGUGACACUUUAUGUUAGUUAAAAUAAACCUAGUCUGUAGCCUAUUGCUGGACAACCUCUUUGCAAUUCCAAGUACCAUUUUUUAGGGAAAAUAAUUUUAGUAGGAGGAUAUUUAUUUGUAGGCUUAGAAUGAAGAAUAUUUUUGCUGGACUCUGUCAAUGAUGAAGUUGUCUUAUUUGCUUUGUUUAUAAAAGACUGUAUGAGGUUUGGACAUUUAACUUUUGUUGAGUAGCUGAUCUUGCUUUUAGUGAUGCUUCAACAUAUAAAACUGAGUUAGUGAUCUGAGUAAAAUUCACAGUGAAAGAUUGUACUCCUGCAAAUAGUAAGAUUAAAGAUAUUAUUUUAAAUUAAUAUUAUCUUUAAAAAGUUAAGAAGGAUAAAGAUAAAGCUGUGUGUUGUAACUUAGGUUUACCUCUGUUUUAAUAGGUUUUAGGAAAACCAGUGAUGCUUCAAUGGGCCUGUACUCAGGUUUUUGAAUGCAAUUUUCUUUGUAGAAUGACAUCUUUAUUUCCUACUCUGCUUUGUUUCUUGUUAACUUCCACUGCCAUUUUUAAAAAUCAUAGUCUUACGUGUGCAAUUCGUCCUGGCAGCUGUGGGAAAAGUCAUUCAAAAGCUUCAGAGCAGGGCCAGAAACUGAACUUUACUGUCAGGAAAGGCAUAAAUAUUCUAAGCAAUGAAAGAAUUGGGGAAAAAAAUGCUUUAGCAAGCCUUUUAAGAGGCAAAGCACCUUACCAAGGGCCUUUGCUGUCGAGGUCAUUAUUCCUGGGUUAAACUGACCGCAAAGAAAUUUAAUUGCCAGGGUAAUCUCUUACUUUUGGUAGAGAUUUAUGAGGCUGCUCAGUGUAAGCUAUAGCUGUGUACAGAGUCUUGUCAAGCUGAAAGCUCCAGCUCUGGAGAAGUGAUGUUGGGAAUAACAUCAUUCAUCUGGCUUUAAAAUGUGUAUUAUCGUCUACUUACAUUCAGCACAAGAUAAUAAUGACAUUCAAUUUAAUGACAUUUUUUUUGUAUUUGGAAAAGGUAAACUGCUGUUGGGUAUGGUUUGACAUGACAGCCUUUUCUGGUAAGGGGGAAGGGGCUGUAAAUAUGGCUCCUGUAAGAAGUUGCUCGCAACUCUCCCCAGCUCAGAGCCAGACCCACUUCUGGGGCUGAGCCAAUUAGACGCCUCCACGAUCACUUUUUUGAGAAGAAGCCGGAAGGGGAGGCUUCUUCCUCCAUCUUCUUUCUUUCUUCUGGCUGGUGGUGGUGCAAGGAGUAGGAACGGUGAGAGAAACAACCAUGCGGACUCCAAGGUCAGUGAUGAAAGAGAGGAGGAGGUGUGCUGGAACAGAGACUCCCCUGCAUUCUAUGGAGAGAACUGGUGAAGCUGAGAUUUAUUUUCAUUUCUUUAAAGACCCCGCAUCAGCGGUAGAGACUCAUUUUUAUAAUGAGCCCACAUCAGGAGCAGAGACUUAUUUUGCUAAAGCUGACCCCGGACCAGGGGCAGCGAUUCACUUCAUUAAAGGCCCCGAGCCAGGGACAGUGACUAUGGCUGGAGGAGGCCGUGUUUCGAAGGAGGGGCCCUUUAUCACUAUGGCCGGAGGAGGCCGUGUUUCGAAGGAGGGGCCCUUUAUCACUAUGGCCGGAGCAGGCCGUGUCCCGAGAGAGGGACCCUGCAAAUGUAGAAACUGCAACCACGGUGAAGAAUCCAAGCCAGAGAUAUUUACCAAGGACUGUGUCCCGUGUGAGGGACCCUGUAUCGGCAGAAGCCACAGCUGCUGGGAAGAACCCACACCAGAGAAGUUUGUUAAGGACUAUGUUCCGGGGGAGGAACCCCGUGUUGGAGCAGGGGAAGAAUGCCAGGAGUCAUCCUCAUCUGAGAAGACAGAAGCGGCAGAGCCCAUCUGUGAGAGACUGACCACAUUCCCCACUCCCUGCCCCCCUGAGCCGUUGUGGGGGGAGGAGGAGUCUUUUCUGUCCAAGUUGUGUUGGUUUCUGGGAGCCGCGGUAAGCAGUUGCAAUCACUAGAUGGUGGUAUUCUGUCACGGGAAGCUUAAAAUGUGGGACGUACCGGUUCCUGAAUGGAGGACGAAAAAGACCAUAGGACACAGAGGUCACUAUAAUCGUUGUAGCUUUUUCUUUACAUUGUCAUAAGAGGCUGGAAGUUUGAAAAAACCUCCCAAAUCUAUCUUGCUGGCUGACUUAAUUAAAUCUAGUGAAUUAUUUUCUAUGGACCUUAAUUUAAUCUGGGAUGAGGAGAGAAUGUAUGUGAAUAAUUGCAUCUUCUAUCAUCAGACAAUUAGCAUUGUUGCUGUGAAGACCUCAAAAAGGUUGGUGACAUCUGGUACUGCGUUUUCAAAGCUAAUGUUUGAAAAUCCACUUGAAGGCUAUUUUUAUUAUUUAUUACAGAAGGUAGUAAGCAAGUGCUGAUUUUGACACAGAUUAUGUAUGGAAUGUUUCUAUUUUGAUAAAUGUGUUUGCUCCCUGAACUCUAAAGCAAUACAAAAGUACUCUUCAAAAUCAGGAUUAUAUUCUCCCUCAUUUGAGGGAGAUACAAACAACAGGAUAGUUGUUUGUAUCACAGGGAAUAGUGUGCAGGGGACUUGGACUUUCAGAAGAAUCAUCUCUUCAUAGUUUUCAAACACUUGUUAAAAACUUUUCAGUUUUAUCACAAUCACUACAAUUCCAGUUUUGUUCUGAAAUUUUGAUCAGAUGAAUAGAAUUUGCAUUUCCAAAUUACAACACAAGUCUUAGUCUUUACCUAUGCAAUAAAGAAGCUGAGAAGAUUCACUCAGUUCUUUUUUGUCUAGCACUUACUGCUUGCAGCUUAUGUUACGAAACUUGCAAGAGAAUGUAGAGCAACUGUGUGCUAAAAUAA